GAUGAAGAACGUAGCGAAAUGCGAUAAGUAAUGUGAAUUGCAGAAUUCAGUGAAUCAUCGAAUCUUUGAACGCACAUUGCGCCCGCCAGUAUUCUGGCGGGCAUGCCUGUCUGAGCGUCAUUUCAACCCUCAAGCAACUUCUGCUUGGUGUUGGGGAUCGGCCGUUAAACGCCGCCCCCGAAAUCUAUUGGCGAUCUCGCUGUAGCUUCCUAUGCGUAGUAGUAACAUCUCGCAUCUGGAGAGCGGCGCGGUCAUGCCGUAAAACACCCAACUUCUCAGGUUGACCUCAGAUCAGGUAGGAAUACCCGCUGAACUUAAGCAUAUCAAUCAGCGGAGGA
rnacentral:misc_RNA from 1 species